AGUUGUAUAUGCUUACUGCCUAAUGGCACAUCGACCAAUGGAAGAAAAAAUAUAUAAGCAGCAGGUAAUUUUGUAUUUUUCUUCUUCUGGACUGCAGUUCUCAGUUUGAAUUAUCGAAGUUAUUCUCUUGCACUGGUAGAUAAAGGUCCAUCUUUGUUUGAAAAAAAUACUCAUCUUUUUGGAAUUUACAGGUGGAUUGCAGGUUAACAUGAACAUGAAGCCCGUCUCCAAGGUAACCGAAGGAGGUUAUCUUGACGUUGGGGGUAUAGACAUGUGGUGGUGGAUUGUGUCAUUGUGUGGUUCGACCGCGAUCUUACUAUAGCUGGUAGGGUGAUUAUAUGGAAGAAGAGGGAUGGCGGGGUCUCUUAUGCACAUAAUGAGCAACGGCGCUAUACGGGCAUAGAUCCUACAGGAUGAAGGUGUGGUCUAUUGCAGUAACACUAAGAAAUUUAUAUCCACCUAUUUACAUUAUGUACAGGACUGUCUCCUCAGAAGGUCUCAAAAUCAGAGUCAUCUUAUUCCAGUGCUAACUGCAUCUAUCAAGAAUGAAAUGCAGAAAAUAGUGGGAGAAAAUGGCCCAAAGGAGUCAUCGGAGAAUAAGAGCACUAUUGCAGUUGAUUACUAAAGAGGCUAGGGUCUGAUCGAGUCCGUAGCAUGUCCCCUGGCGCACGAAGUUCGUGCUUGUGUUCACGUCCAGUGUCGAGAAGGAUGGUGCAUGUGUGUGCUCGUGCCUGCAGGUCGAGUCAGGGUCAGGACACCGGUGUGGCCACGUUCCAAGUUGUGUUCAGCAUGUUUAGCGUGUGCACGUGCUGGCAUGUUAGUUACGAAGGUGCAGGGAUGGCUUAGAGGUUGCAGUUGGCGGCAGUAGCAGAGGAGCACGACGAGCCACGGGAUCAGCAUGAAAGACCGGUUCUCGCGGAGUAUAUGGCUCAUGAAUGGGAGGAGGCCAGGUCCCAUGGAGUGUACGUUUGUGUAUGUGUGAAAAUCGCUAGUGACAACCUCGCGGAGAGGCUACAUAUGGCGAUGUAAUCCUUGUGUAAGGUUAUCCAGUCCUUUCGAAGUUGAAUAGAAGUCAACAUACAGGCCGCCGAGCGGUCAGGCGUUCAUUGCCAAAACUUGUGUGUCUCCUGUUUAUUGUCCUCCUCCAUGCGUCUUUGCGUGAGCGUGAGUGAUUAUAUGAAGCAUAUGUGAAAAUGAUCUCAUAAAAAAUGUAUUAUAAAAUGCUGCACUUCAUAAAUGAAUAUCAGUUAAAGUA